AGAAAAGUGAGAAAAGGGCUUUGAGAGAAAAAAAGAGCACGAGUGCCAAGUGAUAUGAGAAAGGGUGGGAAACAAUGUCUAAGCCCAUCAAAGUCUUGGCCAGCACCAAGCCAAUGCAACUCUUGCCCUCUUUCAAGGCUUAUGCCACUUCAAUUAGCUGAAUGCCAGACUCACCGAAACCAGGGGCAAGAAGGAAAUGAGCCAGCAUACAAAAGCAAAGGCCAUGCUGCCUAAAACCCCGCCAAAGAAGAUCGCCUCGGUCACCAUCAAUCCACCAUUGAAGUAUUACCCCAGGUAUGUCCUCAUUAUUUUGCCCUCUCUCUGUUUUUCAGUCUCUAUUCCCCUAAUUUUUGCCUCUAGGGUUUUCUUCUUCCAUUUGCAUACCUUCACCCAAACCCAACCCCAAAUCAACCCAUGUUAAGGUUGAGGCAUCUGUUCAUUCAUUGUCCUUGGAUAUGGAGGAUAUGGGUUGAAUUACUAGAAUAGUGGAAUGUUCACUAGGUUAUACCAUAAUCUUUUUCAAGUUUGUCACACUGGGGGUUUGGGUUUAAAUUUGGGAAGCUGGAAAAGAAGAUAUGGAGGCUAUGGUUUGGUCAAUUUGGAAGGCUCGUAAUGACCUUAAGUUUAAUGGAAUUCAAGUCAGAUGGAAAUCUUUGGUUCAAAAUUGCUUUGUGGGUCAAAUAUAAGUGCAAGGAUGUGGUCUUUGCGAUGAAUGAUCUAGUGUUUAACUUGGUAGUGGUGAGAGGUUUUAGGGUGUAGUUGGUGUUUGGCCUGUUCUCUUUGUUUUUUUUCUAACUACUGCUCUUGCUUGUUUGUUUUUCUCUACCUACUGCUCUAACUUGGCCUGUUUCGUCCAUGCUUGUAUUUGUUGUUGUCUUCUGACCCUUUUGCUCACCAUGUGUUUGACAAAAUGUUCAAAUGAAACUGGACAAUGCUCAUGUGUUUGACAUCUGUUUAUGAGGUUUGGUUGUGCCCAGAUUGAAUUUAGUUGUUUUUUUUUUUAUUACUUGUUCAUGAGCUGUUAUUAGGUGCAAUUUCAGUUUGAGAUUGAAUUUCAUUUUUUUUUUCAGUUUCAUGAGCUGUUAUUAGGUACAAUGCUCAUGAGAUUGAAUUUCAGUUGUUUUAGUUUGAGAUUGAAUUUCAGUUUUUUGUAAUUACUUGUUCAUGAGCUGUUAUUAGGUGCAAUUUUAGAUGAUAAAAUAACAUGCCAAUGGUUCUUCACUGCUUUGUCAAUUCUUCUUGGGAAAAGCCUAGCAAUCAUGGCCCACUUGUUUCCAUACAGCCUGUGAGUAGCCAUUAGUCUCUCUUCUUCCUCUUCACUAAAAGCUUUUCUAUUGAUCCUUGGGUCCAAUUGGUUGAACCAUCUUAGCCUACAACUCUUACCUUCAUUGAAGUGUAAUGAAGCCAUAGAUCUCUCAAAGAGCACUGAUACAGCUGUUAUUUUUGGUCAGAAACUAGUGGACCCAACAAAGAUCGGUCGCUAGGCUAUUGUGAACUUUUCAGCUUGCUGCAAUAUCCAUGGCCUUGUUAGGGAUUUGAUCAAAUGUGGAGACAUGAAGGGAAUUCAAAUUGAAGCUCUGUUCGAUGUAUUUGAAGAGAGUCCACAAAAUAGGCGGGCCCCACCUCUUGUUAGAGUGGAAAAAAUGUUUGAAGAUAUACAAUUCAAACUUCUAGGGCUCCUCAAUUUCUUCUCUGUCUGCUUCCAGAGAGGAAGAACUCUGAUCUAUAUGGUCCAAGGAAACGAAAGAAUCUUGCUGACUUUGGCAUUGUCACUCUGUGCAUUGCACUUACAAGAGUUAAUGACCAGUAUCUUACUAAUGUUCUCCUUAAGAUCAAUGCGAAAGUGAGGUACUUACUGUAUGGAGGUGUGACUUCCUCAAUGAGACAAGCAUUCACUCAAUUUUCAGAUUAUAGGUUUGGACAUUCUGAGACAAGCAUUCCCUCAAUUUUCAGAUUAUAAGUUUGGCAUUUAGAUCAAUGGCUUUAUUGUCAAAUUAAGCAAGUAUUUUAGUAAAUAAAUUUAAUUUUCCCAUCA